GAUGAAGAACGCAGCGAAAUGCGAUAAGUAAUGUGAAUUGCAGAAUUCAGUGAAUCAUCGAAUCUUUGAACGCACAUUGCGCCCCCUGGUAUUCCGGGGGGCAUGCCUGUUCGAGCGUCAUUUCACCACUCAAGCCUCGCUUGGUAUUGGGCAACGCGGUCCGCCGCGUGCCUCAAAUCGACCGGCUGGGUCUUCUGUCCCCUAAGCGUUGUGGAAACUAUUCGCUAAAGGGUGUUCGGGAGGCUACGCCGUAAAACAACCCCAUUUCUAAGGUUGACCUCGGAUCAGGUAGGGAUACCCGCUGAACUUAAGCAUAUCAAUAAGCGG
rnacentral:misc_RNA from 1 species